GACAGAGGGUGCAAACGUUGCUCGGAAUUACUGGGCGUAAAGCGCGUGUAGGUGGAUUGGUGUGUCAGAUGUGAAAGCCCUGGGCUCAACCCAGGAACUGCACCUGAAACUACCAGUCUUGAGUGGUGGAGAGGGAAGUGGAAUUCCGGGUGUAGCGGUGAAAUGCGUAGAUAUCCGGAGGAACACCGGUGGCGAAGGCGGCUCACUGGCCCGGUACUGACGCUGAGGUGCGAAAGCGUGGGGAGCAAACAGG
rnacentral:rRNA from 1 species